GACGAACGCUGGCGGCGUGCUUAACACAUGCAAGUCGAACGGAGUGGCGAACGGGUGAGUAACACGUGGGUGAUCUGCCUUGCACUUCGGGAUAAGCUUGGGAAACUGGGUCUAAUACCGGAUAGUGCAAGAUGAGCUUGCGGCCUAUCCGCUUGUUGGUGGGGUAAUGGCCUACCAAGGCGUCGACGGGUAGCCGGCCUGAGAGGGUGUACGGCCACAAUGGGAAUGAGAUACAGGCCAGACGCCUAGGGGGGGCAGCAGUGGGGGAUAUAGCAGAAUGGGCGGAAGCCUGAGGCAGCGACGCAGCGUGAGAGAUGAAGGCCUGCGGGUUGUAAACUCCUUUAGACAGGGACGCGGUACCUGUAUAAGAAGCACCGGCUAACUACGUGCCAGCAGCCGCGGUAAUAC
rnacentral:rRNA from 1 species